rnacentral:lncRNA from 1 species
GAAAGAAGAUUAAAGAGCGCGAGGAGAUCUCACAGACCAGUGGAAUAAAGGCCUUUUGCAUAUGAGGAUCAGGUGACAAGUUAACUGGCUACCAACCUCCAAAGCAAUUCGCCCUUUCAUGUCACACAAAAAGAAGUGUUAAGGAUUGCCCUUUGAGACACUGAAGGCUAAAGUUCCAGACAUCCAAUCUGUACUGGCAAAGCUGCCUGAUGAGGAGAGGCCACCAACAUCGCUGCCCUGACUGCUUACAUACCUGCCAUGAAUAAUAGACUUGUCAGCUAGUUAAUCACUGCAUUGUAACUGUCUCUGUUCCUUCUUAGCUGAUCACUUCCCAGAGGAGUUUAAGUUCCAUUGUAACAGGAAACUUCUAUUAUGUUUCCAUACCUGCAUUUAUUUGUAUGCAAAAGCAUUCAUUCUUCUUUUUUCAUAUGACAGUAAAUAAGACAUGCCCCACUUUUUUGACAGUUCUUAAAUUACGUAAUAAACAAUGUAUUCUUUUUUCCUUUGUUUAUCCUGUUCUUCAGCCUCUCAUCAGUUUACUUCUGCAUAUGAGCCAAUUACAUUUUAUUCAUUAGUUAUAAGAUUUGGAAAUACUAACACCUACCUCACAAUCCACAGUUCUGUAAGUUUUUGGUUGAGAUUAUAGUUAUUUGGGGUAAGUAUUGUAAGAGAUCGUCAUAAUUUCCUCAAAAUGUCUAUGAACAAAGGAGAUAGACUGAAGCCCAAAAUAGUCUCUCAAAGGCCUUUGCUUAGUGUUUUGUUCUUUGAUCCUAGAAAUGAGGACAACUGAUUCAACCUUACACAGUUAGGCUCUUUAGUUUCAGGGAGUUAUGAGAUUUUAAACUUGAUGCUUGAAUUAACACUGACAAUAAUCGGCUGAUAAUCUUUGAAGAAUCUUAACCUUACAGAAAAUUAGUGUUAGACUAUCUCUUAUCCAACAGAAAAAAAAAUAAAUAUAAAUUUAUUUUUUAAAGGGCUUAAAAUAUAUACAUUUCCUGUUUUGGUACCUAUAAUUAGACUAUGUCUUCUCUCUAAAUGACUUUUUAGCACCUUUGGAAACUGCAUUCUCUUCUUUAAGCCUAUAGUUAUUUCAUUCUGCAACUGCAAGUAAUUGAGGGCUUACUUGUUUGAAAAUAUUAAUGCAGCUUCCAAAGUUGCUUAAUGCAUAACUAAGUACUGGUAGAAUGUUCAGUUCUUUUAAAUGGAUUCAUUUGCUAUAUGUUUCCUUUGGAAGUUUCUGUUUAUAAUUGAUUAAACUAUGCUCAUGAAACACACUGAUAAAUAGAGCAAUCUAAAGAUACCAAGAAAAGCCAUGAACAUUGUCCAAGAUAUGUAGGGAAUUUGUAUUUCUUGACUAAAUGCUACAUCCAUUCUUCCUCCUUAUCAACCAUUCCUCCAAAUAUCCAGGUUGCUUUUUUGUAUCCUUUAGUGAUGACAAGAUGUUUUUCAUUCCUCUAAUGAAGUGGGAAGCAGAUUAACAUUUUUUCUUCUCAGGAAUUAGAUUACUUAUUGUAGUACUGCUCAAUAUAUCCUUGUAAUACUCACCGACCCCUACCCACAACUAAUUAGUGACUUUCAGAAUUAGGGAAAAUCUAAGUUGUGUGGUGGCUCUAUAUUUAUCAGUGAUCAAGGAAGUGUUACUAAUACACUUGUUGGUGUUAAAAAAGAAUUAAGUAAAUAAAGGGCCAGAUGGUCGAGCCCAGGACCUAUCAAGAGCCCAGUAUGUGUGGGCUGGUCCAACGGAAUGACAGAAACAUUACCAGGCUAAGUGGAAUCAGAAUUAGGCUUAUACUUAUAAGAAAAAGAAUGUUUUUCUAAUGUGUUCUUAUGAUACCGUAAUUUAUAUGUUCAGAUCUCAUUUGUACGAGUAACAUUUGAGUGCAUGUGUUUCCCUGUGCAUCAAAAGCCAACAGUGUUUACAUGUAUCAGAAAAAUCUCUUGGAACAGAAUAUAGUGGCAUCAAAGUAAGUUACCAUGUAAGCACUUUUUUUUUUCUGGUUCAGAAAAGAAUUCUUCUUUGUUCUCUCAGACAAAUCUAUGUUUUUAUUAUUAUAACUCAACUAUUACACUUUAUUAUAAUUGUAUAUCUGUCUCUUCCAAUAGACUCUAUGGCUCAUGAUAUGAGAAACCUUGUUAUGUAGUGUUUGCUAUAUUGCUUGGCCAGAUGAGGAUCUAGUAAAUAUUCUUUUUUUUUAAUAUAAACAUACUCUUUAUUGUAAAUUCCACAAAGCCUUUUGAUUCUCAUAGAAUAUUUUAAUUGACUUUUUAAAAAUUAUUUUAUCUGUAGAGAAUCUUAUUGUUGCAACUGAUAGAUAAAGGCAAUUCCAUCAUGAAUACUGGUUGACAUUUUCUUUGCAUUAAAGAGAAAGAUGAAAGUAAAAAAAUGGGGAUGUAUGGCAGAAAUACAUUCUUUUAUCAAGGACAUGAGAAACGUCAUUGUUGAACCAGAUAAUAAUUUUGAAUAGUUUCAAAAAUAUAUUUCUUCAACUAUUUGCACUUACUGAUGUGACAACUAUAGAAUGACACACACAUUUAAAGUUCAUUAUUAUUAUUUUCUCUGUUACUUAAAAAAAGUCUAGACAAUCAACAAGGACAUCUAUAUCUUUAGUACAGAGUGGUGGUAGUGUAUGUAUAAAGGUUAGAGUAUCUGCCUUCCCAAAUUUGAGAUCACCGUUUUGGGAUGAAUCACCCAGAAUAGAAAGCUAGUUAUAUAACAUAUAUCCUGGAUCUUCUAAAGGAUUGAGAAGAAGAUACACAAUGGUCAGUGCUUUGAAAUUUGCUCUUGCCAUAUUCUAUUCUUUGCUUGGACAAAUGGAUUUACUAAGUUGUAGCCCAAACAUGCUUGACUUGAAUUAAAAGGACUAGAAUCCUGGGAGUUCCUGUUGUGGCCCAGUAGAAAUGAAUCUGGCUAGUAUCCAUGAGGAUAGGGAUUCAAUCCAUGGCCUUAUUCAGUUGGUUGUAGGUACGGCAUUGCCGCAUUGCCGUGAGCUGUGGUGUAGGUCCCAGACAUGGCUUGGAUCCCAUGUUGCUGUGGCUGUGGUGUAGGCUGGCAGCUGAAGCUCUGAUUUGACCCCUAGCCCGGGAACUUCAAUGAGGAUCUAGUAAAUAUUCUCUUAAGGUUUUGUUGUAAUAAGAGCAUUAUAACAGUAGGCAUAAUAAGAUUAAUUUAAACUGAUGAAAUUAAGAAAGCAAAUUUCCUUCCUUUCCUAUGAGCUAAUUGUCUUUACAUUAUAGAAACAGCUAGACUACCCACUCUAGUUUCCAUCACUCUAAUUUUUUGUCUAUUUUAUUUUAUCUUAUAGCUAUGUACUUUUGGAAGCUCUUUUAAAUCUUUUUGGUUUCUGGAAAAGAUACAUAAAUCAGUGAAUUACUGGGUAGGUAAAUUGACUAAGUAGAGUCAAUGUUUCUUAAUUCUGGUGUGGAUUAAGAAAUUUGGUCUAUAAUGGAGGAGUUAUCUUUAAUGGCCUGCCUUCUUAAUAGAGGAUUGCUUCUAGAUUAAAUGCAGCAGGCAAAAUUAUUUCAGAUUAUAUCUUAAAGGGUGGGUGACCCUGGGAUGAAGAUACAUGAAGCAAUCUUUGCUUACUAGGUAAGUCAUUUAGAAAACAAUUUUGUAAAUUUAGCUUAUAAUAUAUGAUAUUGGUCUUCUCUAUAAGUAUUUUCAAAUCUCAGAUUGAAAAAUCAUGGGAAUUUAUAGUAUUUUUCAAAUUAUAAAAAUUAUUUCUUUAAAGAUUGUUUAUUAAUAGGCCAGAGUUUGAGUUUAUCUGUGAAUUUGGUAGUAGUAGUAGUAGUGACGAACGAGCAGGUGAUGGAAACAUAUAUUUUUCCCUUCCUCUCUUUGGAUAUGUGUGUGGAAUAUUUUUGUCUUCCAAUCAGAUUGUUCAUUAUGCUCCCUUUGGAAGUGUGUAUUGUUUGGCCUUCCAGCCUUACAUGCUCAUUCAAAGGCAUUCCAAGUCAUUAUGCUGGACUUCAGCCUUGUUCAGUAAAAAGGCUAUUUCCUCCAUCAGCUGUCCACUUGGACAUACAUUCUUUUUACUCUCAAAAAGACUUUAUGUGCAUUCAGAGAAUAUUAGAUGGAUUUGUCAAAUUCCUCACAGAUAAUCAGUUUUUUAAAGUUAUAAUUUGAGCUAUGACCUCUCAAACUGUGAAUUAUAAGGUUUGACAUUUUGGUUCACUGUUUGACACAUCAGCCAUUAAUUAUAGUUUUUAAAGGACAUUUUAUUUCGGUUAGAAUUUAUGUUAUGAAAAUAGUUUAAGUAUUUUUCCUUUAACUUUCAGGAAUAAAUGUACAUAUGUAAUAUGUACAUUCAGGUAUAGCAAAUAGCUAGCUUGCGUAUGCAUCCUAUAUUCAAAUAUAUUUAUACAUGUUUGUCUAUUAUGCCUGUUAUACAUAUCCAUAGAGAUUUUUAUAUAAUAACCUAUGAAUUAACACUAAGAUCAUACUUCAGUAACUCUGGUGUCAGAAUGAGACUGACUUUUAAAAUAAUGUUUAUCGGGGUGAAAAGAACUUUAUUAUUAUUUGAAUCUAGGUUUUAUUCCCUUUUUUCAUUGAACAGGGAUAUAGAAGUAGGUGCCUAUGAAUGCCCUGUCUGACAGUAAUUUGAAAGUCUUUAAGAGGGAACAAAGAAAAUGAUGAGGGAGAAUAUAAACUGGUCAAGUGGUGUUUGCAUACUCAAGUUUCUGAGAUGGAGCGUACAUAGCAGAGAGGUCACUUUGAGUAAGGGGAGAAAAACAUCCAGAUGUGUGAACACUUUGCUGAUAUCCUUAGUAUUUGAAAUGGGGGAAUUUAGUGACUUUGUAUUGAAUAAAAAGAAGAUAUACAUAUAUCUGAAAAUAGUUCAGCAUACAGUUUUCUGUUGCUAUUUAAUAAAAAUCUAAUAAUAUUUUAGAUGAUUUCUUCACUUCUAAGGCAGUUUUUCUCAUUUUGUAAUAAAUCAUGUUCUUUGUUGCUAAGUUCAUAAAAUUAAAUCUAAAAUAUUAUGGAGAGAUAAUUAUUUAAAAACAUCUGAAUAUUUUUCUUAAAGAUAUAUAACCAUCCUUUUCUAUUUCAAAUAUUUUAGAAAUGGUUAAUUUGGUUUUGUACAAAUUCUUCUCUUGGCUAAAGUUAGCAUGUUUUUCACAUGAAAAGUUAAUAAUUUAGAUGACAACAUUGAAAAUAAAGACCUCUUAAGGAAAGUGACCCAUGUAGGUUCCAUAGUACUUGCUCCUAAAAUUUUUUAAUACAUAUAUAUUUCCUUUGUGUUUGAGUGUACUAUUUUAAGAUUUAAAAAAAAAAAAAAA